ACGUCCGUCGUGAAGAGGGAAACAACCCAGACCGCCAGCUAAGGUCCCAAAGUCACAGUUAAGUGGGAAACGAUGUGGGAAGGCACAGACAGCCAGGAUGUUGGCUUAGAAGCAGCCAUCAUUUAAAGAAAGCGUAAUAGCUCACUGGUCGAGUCGGCCUGCGCGGAAGAUGUAACGGGGCUAAACUGUGCACCGAAGCUGCGGCAGCGACACUAUGUGUUGUUGGGUAGGGGAGCGUUCUGUAAGCCUGCGAAGGUGGCCUGUGAGGGUUGCUGGAGGUAUCAGAAGUGCGAAUGCUGACAUAAGUAACGAUAAUGCGGGUGAAAAGCCCGCACGCCGGAAGACCAAGGGUUCCUGUCCAACGUUAAUCGGGGCAGGGUGAGUCGACCCCUAAGGCGAGGCCGAAAGGCGUAGUCGAUGGGAAACAGGUUAAUAUUCCUGUACUUGGUGUUACUGCGAAGGGGGGACGGAGAAGGCUAUGUUAGCCGGGCGACGGUUGUCCCGGUUUAAGCAUGUAGGCGGAGG
rnacentral:rRNA from 1 species